GACGAACGCUGGCGGCGUGCUUAACACAUGCAAGUCGAACGGAAAGGCCCUGCUUGCAGGGUGCUCGAGUGGCGAACGGGUGAGUAACACGUGGGUGAUCUGCCCCUUACUUUGGGAUAAGCCUGGGAAACUGGGUCUAAUACUGGAUAGGACCAUGCUGUAGGUGGUGUGGUGGAAAGAUUAGUUUCGGUAAGGGAUGAGCUCGCGGCCUAUCAGCUUGUUGGUGGGGUAAUGGCCUACCAAGGCGUCGACGGGUAGCCGGCCUGAGAGGGUGGACGGCCACAUUGGGACUGAGAUACGGGCCAGACUCCUACGGGAGGCAGCAGUGGGGAAUAUUGCACAAUGGGCGCAAGCCUGAUGCAGCGACGCCGCGUGGGGGAUGACGGCCUUCGGGUUGUAAACUCCUUUCAGCCAUGACGAAGCCCUUGUGGUGACGGUAGUGGUAGAAGAAGCACCGGCUAACUACGUG
rnacentral:rRNA from 1 species